AUUGAACGCUGGCGGCAUGCCUUACACAUGCAAGUCGAACGGCAGCACGGGAGCUUGCUCCUGGUGGCGAGUGGCGAACGGGUGAGUAAUGCAUCGGAACGUACCCGGAAGUGGGGGAUAACGUAGCGAAAGUUACGCUAAUACCGCAUAUUCUGUGAGCAGGAAAGAGGGGGAUCGCAAGACCUCUCGCUUUCGGAGCGGCCGAUGUCGGAUUAGCUAGUUGGUGGGGUAAAGGCCUACCAAGGCGACGAUCCGUAGCGGGUCUGAGAGGAUGAUGCGCCACACUGGAACUGAGACACGGUCCAGACUCAUACGGGAGGCAACAGUGGGGAAUUUUGGACAAUGGGCGAAAGCCUGAUCCAGCCAUGCCGCGUGAGUGAAGAAGGCCUUCGGGUUGUAAAGCUCUUUCGGCUGAAAAGAAAUCGCACAGGCUAAUACCCUGUGUGGAUGACGGUAUCAGCAUAAGAAGCACCGGCUAACUACGUGCCAGCCGCCGCGGUAA
rnacentral:rRNA from 1 species